UAUCAAUAAGCGGAGGAAAAGAAACUAACAAGGAUUCCCCUAGUAACUGCGAGUGAAGCGGGAAAAGCUCAAAUUUAAAAUCUGGUGGUCUUUGGCCAUCCGAGUUGUAAUUUAGAGAAGCGACUUCCGCGCUGGACUGUGCACAAGUCUCCUGGAAUGGAGCGUCAUAGAGGGUGAGAAUCCCGUCUUUGGCACAGAUGUACCAGGGCUUUUGUGAUGCGCUCUCGAAGAGUCGAGUUGUUUGGGAAUGCAGCUCAAAAUGGGUGGUGAACUCCAUCUAAAGCUAAAUAUUGGCGAGAGACCGAUAGCGAACAAGUACCGUGAGGGAAAGAUGAAAAGCACUUUGGAAAGAGAGUGAAACAGUACGUGAAAUUGUUGAAAGGGAAACGCUUGAAGUCAGUCGCGUCGGUCGAGACUCAGCCUUGCCUCGGCUUGGCGUACUUCUCAGCUGACGGGUCAGCAUCAAUUUUGCCCCUCGAAUAAUGGCAAGGGAAAUGUGACACCUUUUACAGGUGUGUUAUAGUCUUUUGUCGCAUGCGAGGGUCAGGAUUGAGGAACUCAGCACGCGCCUUUGGGUGUCGGGGCCGCUUGCCCACGAAACGUGCUUAGGAUGUUGGCGUAAUGGCUUUAAACGACC
rnacentral:rRNA from 1 species